GACGAACGCUGGCGGCGUGCUUAACACAUGCAAGUCGAACGGUAAGGCCCCAGCUUGCUGGGGUACACGAGUGGCGAACGGUUGAGUAACACGUGGGUGACCUGCCCCGCACUUCGGGAUAAGCCUGGGAAACUGGGUCUAAUACCGGAUAGGACCGCACCGUGAGGGUGUGGUGGAAAGUUUUUCGGUGUGGGAUGGGCCCGCGGCCUAUCAGCUUGUUGGUGGGGUAAUGGCCUACCAAGGCGGCGACGGGUAGCCGGCCUGAGAGGGUGGACGGCCACAUUGGGACUGAGACACGGCCCAGACUCCUACGGGAGGCAGCAGUGGGGAAUAUUGCACAAUGGGCGGAAGCCUGAUGCAGCGACGCCGCGUGGGGGAUGACGGCCUUCGGGUUGUAAACUCCUUUCACCAUCGACGAAGGUUUUCUGACGGUAGAUGGAGAAGAAGCACCGGCUAACUACGUG
rnacentral:rRNA from 1 species